rnacentral:snRNA from 1 species
GUGCUUGCUUCAGCAGCACACAUACCAAAAUUGGAAUGAUACAGAGAAAAUGAGCAUGGCCCCUGUGCAAAGAUGACAUGCAAAUUUGUGGAAAAAAAAUUCUCUAC